AUACGGAGGAUCCGAGCGUUAUCCGGAUUUAUUGGGUUUAAAGGGUGCGCAGGCGGGAGAUUAAGUCGGCGGUGAAAUUUUGCCGCUCAACUGUAAAAGGGCCUUCGAAACUGGGUUCCUUGAGUGUAGAUGAAGUAGGCGGAAUUUGUGGUGUAACGGUGAAAUGCAUAGAUAUCACGAGGAACUCCGAUUGCGCAGGCAGCUUACUAAACUACUACUGACGCUCAGGCACGAAGGCGUGGGGAUCAAACAGGAUUAGAUACCCUGGUAGUCCACGCAGUAAACGAUGAUUACUAGCUGUUUGCGAUACAAUGUAAGCGGCUGAGCGAAAGCGUUAAGUAAUCCACCUGGGGAGUACGUUCGCAAGAAUGAAACUCAAAGGAAUUGACGGGG
rnacentral:rRNA from 1 species